AGCCCCGUCGUCUAGCGGUCAAAGAUUACGGGCCUUGGACCCGUCGACCCCGGUUCGAAUCCGGGCGGGGCUA
rnacentral:tRNA from 1 species